GGGCGGGACACGUGGUAUCCUGUCUGAAUAUGGGGGGACCAUCCUCCAAGGCUAAAUACUCCUGACUGACCGAUAGUGAACCAGUACCGUGAGGGAAAGGCGAAAAGAACCCCGGCGAGGGGAGUGAAACAGAACCUGAAACCGUGUACGUACAAGCAGUGGGAGCCCCACCACUAAGCCAGUGGUGAACUCCACAUACGCAUCCUUUGCGGAAGAUGCGGUUAACGGAGCGAAAGCGACGUUCAACCUCAGAAGAAGCAGAGGGGGCUUAGUGGUGGGGUGACUGCGUACCUUUUGUAUAAUGGGUCAGCGACUUAUAUUCUGUAGCAAGGUUAACCGCAUAGGGGAGCCGAAGGGAAACCGAGUCUUAAUUGGGCGUUAAGUUGCAGGGUAUAGACCCGAAACCCGGUGAUCUAGCCAUGGGCAGGUUGAAGGUUGGGUAACACUAACUGGAGGACCGAACCGACUAAUGUUGAAAAAUUAGCGGAUGACCUGUGGCUGGGGGUGAAAGGCCAAUCAAACCGGGAGAUAGCUGGUUCUCCCCGAAAGCUAUUUAGGUAGCGCC
rnacentral:rRNA from 1 species